GCAGGAACAGCAAAGGGGAAG
rnacentral:miRNA from 1 species